AGCUCCAUCCUUUAUGCAAUGCGUGCCCGGCCUACUUGCUUCUUAAUAAGAAACAUGGUACAAAUUUUUCUUUUUCUUUUCUUUUUUUUUUCUCUCUUUUUGAGACAGAGUCUUGCUCUGUUGCCCAGGCUGGAGUAUGGUGGUAUAAUCUCGGUCAAGAGACAUCCCGGAGAACCAGUAAUGCCAAGCAUAUUCUCUGUCCUUACUAUGUAGUAGCAGCUCCUACCUCCUACUGAUGACCGGGGUCAAUUACCACCA
rnacentral:lncRNA from 1 species